GAGUUGGAAUAGGAGCUUGCUCCG
rnacentral:piRNA from 2 species